rnacentral:rRNA from 1 species
CCUACGGGAGGCUGCAGUAGGGAAUAUUGCUCAAUGGGGGAAACCCUGAAGCAGCAACGCCGCGUGGAGGAUGAAGGUUCUCGGAUUGUAAACUCCUUUUGUUAGAGAAGAUAAUGUCGGUAUGUAACGAAUAAGCACCGUCUAACGCCGUGCCAGCAGCCGCGGUACUACGGAGGGUGCAAGCGUUACUCGGAAUCACUGGGCGUAAAGAGCGCGUAGGCGGGAUAGCAAGUCAGAUGUGAAAUGCUAUGGCUUAACCAUAGAAUUGCAUUUUAAACUGUUAUUCUAGAGUAUGGGAGAGGUAGGUGGAAUUCUUGGUGUAGGGGUAAAAUCCGUAGAGAUCA